rfam:Triticum aestivum genome assembly, contig: Triticum_aestivum_CS42_TGACv1_scaffold_146702_2BS
GAGGUACUCCCUCUGCCCGAAAAUACUUGUCAUCAAAAUGGAUAAAAGGGGAUGUAUCUAGAAGUUCUAGAUACAUCCCUUCUAGAUACAUCCCCUUUUAUCCAUUUUGAUGACAAGUAUUUUCGGACGGAGGGAGUAUCUU